rnacentral:tRNA from 1 species
AUAUAUAUAGUAUAAUAUUUGAUUACAUUUAACUUUCAAUUAAAAGAUUUAUACAUUAUUAAUAUAUAUA